UAGUAGCAGCAGGGCGGAGAAAGGGUUAGUCCCUGUAAAGGUACUCCUAGUAUAAGUAAUAACCAUAGGCAUCCAUAGAUGUUCAUCACCCACUGUUGCUAACAGAUGGGUUCCGGAAUGGUUAGUCACGUCCAUAUAUCCCGAUGUACUAGGGAUAGGGGCCCAUAUAGGUAUCCCGAGGUACUAGGGAUACGGUCCUGUCUAGAUAUCCCGAGGUACUAAGGAUAUGCAGGAAGAUUUACACAGAAGGUACUAAUAAAUCAUGCUCACAAUUCGAGAUACACGUAUUCAUGUUAAUAUACACAGGUAAGUGAAUCUACGUAAGGAUACUCAUGUAACGCGUUCAUGUAAGCGUGUUCAUGUAUCAUGUAAGUAUAUGUAAACGUACUCAUGUAUCAUGUAAUCAAAGGUAAAGGUACUCAUGUAUCAGGUAAUGUACUGGUAUAGACUCAUGAAUGAACUAACUCUUGUGUGAUUCCUUGUAAUAGGAAUUAUGUUUAAUAUCUCCAACUUAUCCCAAUGAUAAUUUACUGAGAGGUAAUUGGUUCAUCAUGUAGGUUUAUACACUCUUACUACUCAAGGGUGUGGAAAACUGAAUGAAAGGUGCAAACUAAAACAUCAAUACAUAUAUAAGAUUACAAGUGUAUAUGCAUAGUUUAGUUCAAGAAAGUAAAAUAAUGGUUUUGCACAAUAAUUAAGAAUGACUUGAUGUCAUUUUAAUAAAAAUUUCAAAACUAAUAUUUUUGUUAUCAAGGUAUUUUAAGAUAGAAAACCAUUUCAUGCGUCACAUUUUGUAGUAUGUGAAAUCUAUUAAAUGACAAACACAGUUUUAAAAUACAUAUCAAUGAUUUAAUAACAUGUUUGUUUCUACUUGUAUUCCCCCCAUUUAAGCAUUUAAAAUCAUUUAAAACAUUGAUUAGGGGUAUGAACUCACCUGUAGUUGGUGAUUGGGAUGAAUUGAACGGUAUAGGAUUGCUAGGUGUCAAGCGAGGACUUGUACACACACUACGAUCCUAAUGAACAUAUAGUCACACAUAUGUGCACUCAAUUAGUCUCAACUCACUAACUGAUAAUGUUAAGACAUCCUAGACAUAAUAAACACUUUAUAUAAGUGUUUUAAGCCCUAAGGAUUGCAUCUAAGCUAUUGUGGGACAAUGUACUUGUGUUCAGGGUUCCAAAGGACCCCAUAUAUGAGUUUACUCCUCAUAUACUAACACACAUCGAGUUUACGGUUGUAAACUCUUGAGUUUACAGCCAUAAACUCCCAACCAUGGGUGUUUUGUGUGUUUUGAAGUUCCAAAUGAUUCCUAGAAUUAUUCCAACUUGGUGGUUAAAUUCUUGGAAGGGUUUAAGGUCUAGAAACACUCCAUUUAGGAGUUUACGGCCCUAAGGCCAUUUCCUUUGGAGUGUACGGCCGUAAACUCCCUUGGAAUGGUGUCCUUGUUGAUUUCAAGCCUCAAGCAUAGGUGGUAUAUGUUCUAGGCUUUUAUUCCAAGCAUAUGAAGACAUUAGGCACACUUUGGUGCCCUCCUUUCAUGUUUACGGCCCAAGAACAAAGUCUUGGUUGUAAACUCACUUUAAUAAGUGAUUUUGAUGUGCUUAAGGCCUUAGAUUAAAUGGGAAUAAGUCUGGAUAAAAGUCCUAAGCUUUAGGUGCCUUAAAAGCACCAUUUUCAGUUUGAAAAGGGAGUUUACGGCCUAAGAAACUCUUGGGCCGUGAACUCCCAAACUUGGGUGAUUCUUGGUUGUUUUCUUGUCCCUAACACACAUACAUAUGAGUCUAAGGCAGUUGCAUAACACAAGGGUCGGUCUCGGCUUUGUUUCGGGAGUUUACCGCCCAAGAACACCUUGGGGAGUAAACUCCUAGAUCUAGUGAUUUAGCCUUCUAAAUCAUGUUAUAAACACAUAUAAAGCUUUCUAACAUUACUAGAAAGAGGUACUCACGAUUUGGGAUAAAAACCCGAAGAUCCGUGAGAGAGAAAAUGGCUUUUCUCUAGUUGGAAAUGUGAAUAAUGAAUGAAUUUGGUUCAGAAUUCUAUUUAUAGUCCUGAGAUAUUUUUGGCAGAAAAUAUUUUUAUUCCUGUAAUGAUCUCUAAUAUAAUAGAGUGUUGGAAUAACAGUGUUGCACAAAACCCUAGUUCACCCACUUUCCUGAUAUUUCCUGAAGUGUAAACCCUGAAUUACUCAAACUUACGUGAAAAAUCUGAAAAUUAACUGUGAUUCCUAUAACUUCUAUUGAAGUGAUACAGUUUGUACAGAAUGGAAAUUUUGGGUUGUCACAUCAUCCCCCCGUUAAAAGGAAUUUUGUCCCGAAAUUAGAAUUUAAGCAAAUAAUAAAUUACAAAUAACUAAGCGAAGAGGUGAGGGUAUUUCAGUUUCAUCUGAUCCUCACGUUCCCAAGUGAAUUCCGGUCCACGCUUUGCGUUCCAACGCACCUUCACUAUCGGGAUACGGCUCUGCUUUGUUUGCUUGACCUCUCGGUCCAUGAUCUCUACUGGUUCCUCCAUGAAGUUGAGGCUCUCGUUGAUCUCGAUCUCGUCGAGUGGAAUAACAAGAGUCUCGUCGGAUAGACACUUUUUCAAGUUUGACACGUGGAACGUAGGAUGUACGUUACUGAGUUCUUGCGGUAGAUUGAGCUUGUAAGCCAUAGGGCCGAUUCUUGCGAGAAUAUCGAAAGGCCCUAUGUAUCUAUGGAUGGUAGGCUGUACUCAUGUCCAGCCUAGUUCCUAGGCAACUUUGUAAUGACUGCCAGAACCUCGAAGUGAAUCUACUAUCUCGGUCCGAGAUGAUAGAUAAAGGAACACCGUGCAACCUUACAAUCUCCCUAAUGUAAGUUCUGGUAAGUUUCUCCAUCUUGUCUGUUUCUUUGAUCGGUAAGAAGUGUGCAGACUUGGUCAGUCUAUCGACGAUGACCCAUAUGGAAUCAAGUCCACCCGUCGUCUUCGGCAACUUGGUUAUGAAGUCCAUAGUGAUCCGCUCCCACUUCCAUUCUGGUAUCUCCGGUUGUUGUAGAAGACCGGAGGGUUUCUGGUAUUCGACCUUGACCUUUGUGCAAGUAAGGCAUUUACUCACGAAGGUAGCGAUAUCUGCUUUCAUGUUAGGCCACCAGUAUAACUUUUUAAGAUCCAGAUACAUCUUAUCUGAACCCGGGUGGACGGAAUAACGAGUGUUGUGAGCUUCCGUCAUGACCAAGUCUCUAAAGCCACCGUGUUUCGGUGUCCAGAUCCAAUCCAUGAGGUACAAGGGUCCGCCACCCUUGACUUCUAAGUUCCUAUCCAUCCCUCUAAGGGACUCACCAGCCACGUUUUCGGGUUUCAAAGCGUCGAGCUGAGCCUCCUUUAUUUGCGUGGACAAGUGUGAAUGGAUAGAUAGAGUCAAAGAUCUGACUUUACGACCAAUAUACUCUUUCCGACUUAGAGCGUCGGCUACUACACUGGCUUUACCCGGAUGAUUAUGAAUUUCACAAUCGUAAUCACUGAGUAGCUCGACCCACCGUCGUUGUCUCAUGUUGAGCUCCUUCUGGUCGAAAAUGUGUUGCAGACUCUUAUGGUCUGUAAAGAUCGUGCUUUUUGUACCGUACAAGUAAUCUCGCCAGAUCUUCAGAGCAAAGACAACUGCUCCUAGUUCAAGAUCGUGGGUUGUGUAGUUAACCUCAUGUGUCUUCAGUUGUCUCGAGGCAUAGGCUAUGACUUUACCUCGCUGCAUCAGAACACAUCCGAGCCCUUGGUUUGAUGCGUCGCGAUAGACCACAAAGUCUGCUAUCCGUUCGGGGAGGGACAGUAUUGGUGCGGUGCACAAGGCUUGUUUGAGCAUUUGGAACGCUAUUUCUUGUUUCUCUUCCCAGUCAAAGGCCACGCCUUUCUGGGUCAGGGUUAUAAGAGGUUUCGCUAUGUUGGAGAAGUUCUGAAUGAACCUGCGAUAGUAGCUAGCUAGACCUAGAAAUUGACAAAUUUCAGUAGGUGUCUUUGGUGCUGACCAGUUCUCGAUGUCCCUAAUUUUGGAAGGGUCCACGUGUAUACCUUCUUCGCUAACCACAUGGCCCAAAAAUUCAACUCGCCGAAUCCAAAAUUCGCACUUGGAGAACUUCGCGUCAAGCUUCUCUGAUCGCAAUGUUUCUAAGAUUUUAUGGAGAUGUUGGCUAUGUUCCUCCUUACUUCGAGAGUAAAUGAGUAUGUCAUCAAUGAAGACGAUGACGAACUGAUCCAAGUAAGGACGACACACCCUAUUCAUCAGAUCCAUGAAUACUGCGGGCGCGUUAGUUAAUCCGAACGGCAUCACUACAAACUCAUAGUGCCCAUAACGAGUUCGGAAGGCUGUCUUGGGAACAUCCUCCUCUAACACUCGUAGUUGGUGAUAUCCGGAUCGUAGAUCUAUCUUCGAGAAGUAGUUGGCUCCUUGAAGUUGAUCAAACAAAUCGUCAAUGCGGGGCAAGGGAUAACGAUUUUUAAUGGUAAGUUUGUUGAGUUCUCUAUAGUCGAUGCACAUGCGAAACGAUCCAUCUUUCUUCUUGACGAACAAGACCGGUGCUCCCCAUGGUGAGAAGCUUGGUCGAAUGAAUCCCUUCUUGAGAAGUUCGUUAAGUUGACUGGAAAGUUCCUGCAUUUCAGCCGGUGCCAGACGAUAAGGAGAUUUGGCUACGGGGGUAGCCCCUGGCACUAAGUCGAUUCUGAACUCGACUUGGCGUUGUGGUGGUAAACCGGGAAGUUCUUCUGGGAAUAUGUCGGGAAAGUCGCGUACUUCUGGGAUUUUCUGGAUGUCUUUCAGUUCUUGACUGGUAUCGACGACGUGUGCGAGAAAUGCAUGGUACUCCUUCCGCAAGCACUUCUGGGCUUGAAUGCACGAAAUGAUGCGAAGGCUCGUACUAGGUUUGUCGCCGUAGAUAACUAAGGUUUCGUUGUUAGGAAGGUUAAGACGAACUGCUUUUUCGAAGCACAUAAUGUCGGCACGAAGAAGACUCAACCAAUCCAUACCGAUGAUAACGUCGAAACAUUUAAUUGGGACUGGCAUGAGAUCUAUCUUGAAAGUAUGGCCAUCUAAAGUUAAAGUACAACCUACGUAUAUGCAGUUUGUACUCUCUGUUUUCCCGUUAGCCAUUUCUACCGUGAAUGAACUAUCUAAUGCACAUGGUUUUUGUUUAAGCAGGUGUGCAAAUUUGUGACUUACAAAACUUUUCUCGGCUCCACUAUCGAAAAGUAUGCAAGCAUAUGAGUUAUCGAGGAGGAACGUACCAGUAACUAUCGUAGGAUCAGCUACUGCUUCCUCGUGGCCUAGGGCCAUAACUCUUCCUACUCCUCCAGCCAUCCCCGCUUUAGGGCAGUUCCUCUUGUAGUGACCCACCUCGCCACAACUGUAGCAAGUUUGGCCCAUACCGGCAUUUCGAACCUAGGCGGCUUGAGCUGUUGGAGCCUUGCAGUAACGGGCGGUGUGCCGCUUCCUGUGGCAGUUAGAGCAGGACAUCUCCUUACAAGGUCCGUGGUGGUGGAAGCUGCAUUUGUUGCACUUCGGAAGAGUUCCAGCAUAAGUUUUUGCUGGUAAGGGGUUCGCAGGGACAACAGGAGUUACUGUGGCAGCAUUGAUCGCCACAAGUUGUUGUUUAUUGGAGGAUCCUUGCGAAGCCCCUCUUUUCCUCUUAUUCCACCCCUUCUUGUUGUAGUCGGGGUUGGACUUUUGUGGUACGGGUGUAGGGAUUGUUGGGUUCUGAGGUUUCCGGUGAUCGAUGAGAGAUUGUGCUAGUUCCUUGGCGCUAUCGAAGGUAAUAGGCCUGGAAGCGAUCACACUUGACUGGAUCUGGGGCGACAGUCCCCAGAUAUAUCUCUCUAUCUUUUUGCUCUGGAGAGCAACCAUGUCAGGGCAUAAGUUUGCCAGAUCACAGAACCUAUUUGUGUAGGUCGUGAUGUCGGAUCCAACCAUUUGAAGACCCCAGAAUUCUUGCUCGAGUUUUUGUAUUUCACCUCGAGGACAGUAUUCUUUCAUCAGCAUGUCUUUCAACUUUUCCUAGCCGAUGGAAUACGCCACCACCAAAGUUAGAUAAUUCACAUGGUUGUUCCACCAUGUUAGUGCUCGGUCAGAGAAGGUACAAGCUACGAACUUGACCAUGUUGCCUUCCUAACAAGCACAUAUUUCAAAGACAGAUUCCAUCUUUUCAAUCCAUUGUGUCAACACCAUAACACCCCCAGUACCAUUGAAGCUGCGGGGUUUGGCAUUUGUGAAGUCCUUGUAGGUGCAUUCCCAAGGGUGUCCAUGGCUUUCGCCGUGGUUCGAGGGUGGUGCACCUGUUCAUGAUCCACUAGGGGAAGGAGCGUUGAUUGCUGACACAGCAGCUGCAACUGCUGCUGUGAAAGCUGCCUGGAACAUGUUGGCAUCGAAAGGAUUUGGUGGUUGAAGAGGUUCAGGUGGUGGUGGAGGUGGUGGUAUUGGUGCUUCGUUGUUUGGGUUUCGCCUUGGAUUCCUGCGUGGCGGCAUCUUUAACUAUACGUUUAAAAGAUGACGACAUGGAUAAGAAUAAAUGAUAAAUGAAUGUGUCUCAUGGACUAAAUCCCCAUAGCCCAACAACAGAAGGAAUAGUAUGACUAAAUGAAGAAGAUAGCAUUUGGAUAAUAAUUUCCAUAAGAUUAGAUAUCUGUCAAUAAUACUGGAAUUACAGAUGUAACAAGUUCGGGAAAAUGGCCUAGAAGUAGGCCUUACAUCAACCAAGAUGGAAAAUUUUGAAACAAUUAAGACUAGAUCAAGACCUAACAGGUCUAAGACUUAUAAAGACAGGAAAUUAGACCAUAGCUUUACAUAAACUAGGUUAUAUCCAAAAGAUGAGUUGACGAUAUUGUAUCGGCGACGAGAACUGCUAGCAUGAGUCCUUGAGCCCGACAGUAGACGUUCAAUGUCCCUUAUACGCCUGUCCGACCUUGCUUGCUGAGCUCGAAGUUCUCUAACUUCAGCUUGGGUUUCAGCAAGUUCCCUCUGCAGAUUUGCAUUGCGGACCAGAGUCCUUUCAUGAGCAGACUCUAGUUGGCGAAUGUGGACAGUGUUAACACCAGAGUUGGCGUCAACUUCCAAGACUUGAUUGAUAGUCGCCUGAGCCAUUAUCAUGUUCCGAGAAAUCCUACGCACCAUGAUCGGUAGGACUCUAUCAGCAGAACCUCCUUUAGUUAGGUUGUAGAAACUUCGGUCUUCAUUGUAGGGAAUGGGCUGACACUGUUCAUGACUCCAUGUAUUAAAGUUCAUGGCCCACAGAGGUGUUGGUCCUUGAAACAAAGGGCGGGGGUUCAGGUUUGGGUUUUGAGCACCUGGGGGUAGGUUGUUGACUUUAGGCUCUGAGUCAGAACUAUCGGAAAAACCCUCAGCAUGGUGAUCAUCCAAAGGGAUUGGGUGAUCAUCUUCUGGUUCUGCCUCUAGCCAACCAGCAUUGCCUUGGUUUGGGAAGUACGGAUCGCCAUGGUGAAAUCCAGCCAUUUUAAUCUACGCGAGAAAAGGGAUAUAAGAAAUAGCUAAAAUAGACGAACUAACUAAGAUAAUUACAGUAAGACCAAAUACCCAUAUGGUAUUUCUUUAUGGUUGUGUUGGUAAGUUUUUAGACUUGUUGCCAUAUCACAACCAUUCUUGGGCAUAUGCUAAUCACUCCUCGGACCAGCAUAGUUGAUCAGGCUAUGCCAUUCCCAAGACUGACCAUAUAUCCCCAGGCUUACUUGUGAUAUUCAACAAUCGUAAUACUUUUGUUCUUGUCAUUGUGACACUGAUUUUAGUAUGAAUGCAGGCACGUAUACUUACUUAAAUAUUUUAUUAUUUAAAAGUAUAACUCUUAGACAGAGUGUUUUAAUCCCGAUGUAUUUAUAGUUAGUAUAUCUUUUAUGGGUUGAUAUACUAUAUUCACUAUAAACAAUGCUUUGAUACCAAUCUUUCACACCCCAAAACCAUGAACGGCGGAAAUGUUCAGGGGUGGAGGACGUCAUGUACAGUAUCACAACAGUGUAAUAUAAUAAACAAGCAACAACAUCAUCCAUUGCAUUAUAAGUAAAGUUUUAAUACAUGUGUGUUCUUUCAUUGUAGUAAGACACCAAAAAUAUACAAUCAAAAUAAAAGACGAGACUUGUCUGCUCCGUCUUCUCAAAACCUGGCCAUCGUACCUGUCUACUGUUGACCUGAGAAUACAAGUUAUUUUGAGAGAGAGUAUCAGCUUUAAAGCUGGUGAAUUCAUAAGUAUUUAAGUGUCAUUGUCUUGCUUAUGAAAAUCUGUUAUGAAGGCCAUGUAAACCUUUAAAUGAAAGUGUUGAUGUAAGUAUGGAAACCCUAGAAAAUCCCUUAUUUCCUAUAAGUAUGAAUUGUAGUCUUCUACCAAGACCCGAAUGUUUUGUUAUGACAAUGUAGUCUUCUACCAAGACUCGAAUGUUUUGUAAGUAAAAUGAUAGUUUUCCUUUAAUUGUUUAGUAGUAAAGUACUUAGUCUAACUCAUCGUUUAUGUGAAAGUAUCACAAAAUAAAGUAAACAGGAAAAUGUACUACUGUAAGUGUUGUCACUGGGUACUAGGACUAACACAGCAUAUAUUAGGGUUAACACGACCUAUAUAACCUAAUGAACAUCCGAAGAUUGUCCAAUUGUCCUCUGUAGCAGUAGCAGGGUGGAGGAAGGGUUAGUCCCUGUAAAGGUACUCCUAGUUUAAGUAAUAACCAUAGGCAUCGGUAGAUGUUCAUCACCCACUGUUGCUAACAGAUGGGUUCCGGAACGGUUAGUCCCGUCCAUAUAUCCCGAGGUACUAGGGAUAGGGGCCCAUCUAGGCAUCCCGAGGUACUAGGGAUAGGGUUCUGUCUAGAUAUCCCGAGGUACUAAGGAUAUGUAGGAAGAUUUACACAGAAGGUACUAAUAAAUCAUCCUCGCAGUUCGAGAUACAAGUAUUCAUGUUAAUAUACACAAGUAAGUGUAUCUACGUAAAGGUACUUAUGUAACGUGUUCAUGUAAGCGUGUUCAUGUAUCAUGUAAGUAUAUGUAAACGUACUCAUGUAUCAUGUAAUCAAAGGUAAAGGUACUCAAGUAUCAGGUAAUGUACUGGUAUAGACUCAUGAAUGAACUGACUCUUGUGUGAUUCCUUGUAAUAGGAAUUAUGUUUGAUAUCUCCAACUUAUCCCUAUGAUAAUUUACUGAGAGGUAAUUGGUUAAUCACGUAAGUUUAUACACUCUUACUACUCAAGGGUGUGGGAAACUGAAUGAAAGGUGUAAACUAAAACAUCAAUACAUAUAUAAGAUUAUAAGUGUAUAUGCAUAGUUUAGUUCAAGAAUGUAAAAUAAUGGUUUUGCAAGAUAUCUAGGAGUUUUGAACAAUAAUUAAGAAUGAAUUGAUGUCAUUUUAACAAACAUUUCAAAACUAAUAUUUUUGUUAUCAAGGUAUUUUAAGAUAGAAAACCAUUUCAUGCAUCACAUUUUGUAGUAUGUGAAAUCUAUUAAAUGACAAACACAGUUUUAAAAUACAUAUCAAUGAUUUAAUAACAUGUUUGUUUCUACUUGUAUUCCCCCCCCCAUUUAAGCAUUUAAAAUCAUUUAAAACAUUGAUGAGGGGUAUGAACUCACCUGUAGUUGGUGAUUGGGAUGAACUGAACGGUAUAGGAUUGCUAGGUGUCAAGCGAGGACUUGUACACACACUUGAAUCCUAAUGAACAUAUAAUCACACAUAUAUGCACUCCAUUAGUCUCAAAUCACUAAUUGUUAAUGUUAAGACAUCCUAGACAUAAUAAAC
rnacentral:lncRNA from 1 species